GGAGAGGUGACCGAGUGGUUGAAGGUGCACGAUUGGAAAUCGUGUGUGCGAGAAAUCGUACCGAGGGUUCGAAUCCCUCUCUCUCCGCCA
rnacentral:tRNA from 1 species